rnacentral:misc_RNA from 1 species
AGCGCAUCACACACAUAGAGUCAAAAAAAAAAUAAUCAGGCUGCGUACGAAAAAUUAAGAAAAUUUAUUCAGCGCUCCUACGACGAGUUUGUACUAGAGCAAAUAAACCAGUCUUUCGUGUGCGUCGUCCAAAAAACUGCAGCAAAAUAACUAAGUUCAACAUACGCCUUGAUAACAUCAUGUCGAAAAAUAAAAAAUUGUCGCUAUCGAGCGACCCGACAGAAAAAUUUAUCUACAAGCCAAAGGAUUUAAUAUGGGCCAAGAUGAAGGGCUUCACACCGUGGCCGGGAAUGAUCGUGGAUCCACCGCUCGACCUGCUCAGCCAGCAGCGACGCGCAAACACAAAGUGCGUCUUCUUCUUUGGCUCGCGCAAUUUCGCUUGGAUUGAGGAGCCCAACAUUAAGCCUUUUGAGGGUCCGUGGAAGGAUGAGAUGGCGAAAGUUAGCAAACCGGCUUCGUUUAGGCAUGCGAUGGCCGAUAUUGAGAAAUAUGUGGAAAAUCCUGCAGAGAUUGAUAGUCAAAUCGAUGAGAGUUGUGGCAUGGCGAAUCAUGCCACUGAGGCAGACUUUGACAAGAUUCGCGAUGGCCUCGAUAGCGAUGAGGCGACAGCCGAUGGCAAUAAUGGUCUCGUGCCCCAUGUCGUUGGCAGCCCGGAUGAGUCGGAUAUGCCGCACGCUGUUGUUGAAAACAAUGCAAAGUCCACAAAGUCACCGGCAGCAAUGACGACGGCGACGACGACGACAACACCAAUGGCCAAGAGUCAGACGAAACGCACACCCAAAGCAAAAUCCAGCGCUGCCGUCGCUGUCAGCAGCAAACAGGCGCACAAAGCGGCAUCGGCGAAAUCGGCAGCAGCCCAGAAGCGACGCAUAUCGGCACACCAGACGCCCACUGGUGGUUCAAGCGCCAAGCGCGGUCGACGCGCUGCCUCGGGCGAUAUGAUGCGCUAUGACAGUCCAGUCGGGGGGGAUUACGAUGGUGCCAGCUCGUCCUCGUUCGCUGCCCGGACGCGAAUUGAUCCAGAUACCUUCUUGAGCCCUCUGUCGAAGCGUACGCCCAACGCAAUUGCGCUGCUGGAUCGACCAGUUGUCACACGGCCAGAGACAAAGGCCAUUGACAUGAAGUCACGUACGAACACACUGGUCGAUCGCGCCAUUGAACCGUCCGAUCUGACAUUUGGUUUUCUCGGUCUCGGCAUGAUGGGUUCGACCAUAGUCAAAGACCUCAUUUAUACGGGACACAAGAUUGUGGUCUGGAACCGCACCAUUGAUAAGUGUCAACCUUUUGUGGAGGCGGGCGCUGAGGUUAAGGACACACCUAUGGACGUGGUGGAGGCAGCAGACAUAAUAUUCUGCUGUGUAUCAGAUCCCAAGGGUGCCAAAGACCUCGUCUUUGGCAACUGUGGCGUCCUGCAGCUGAAGGAUUUGCGGAACAAGGCAUAUGUGGAAAUGUCGACACUUGAUCCAGAUACAUCGUUGGAUAUUGGGCUGGCCAUCAAGCAGUGUAAUGGUCGCUAUUUGGAGGCACAGAUCCACGGCACACGACAAGAGGCAGCCGAAGGCAUGCUAAUCCUAUUGGCCGGCGGUGAUCGAUCAGUCUUUGAGGAGUGCCAUUCCUGCUUCAAGACAAUUGCAAAGAACACCUUCUUUUUGGGCACAGAUAUUGGCAACGCCUGUAAAGUGAACCUCAUUUUGCAAACUAUUCUGGGCGUCAGUCUGGUCGGACUGGCAGAGGCGUUAGCUUUGGCUGAUCGUUUUUCCAUUUCGUUAAACGAUAUCAUAGAUAUAUUCGAUUUAACUUCUAUGAAAUCACCUAUGCUGCUGGCCAAAGGCAAAGAAAUGGCCAAGGGCGAUUUUAAUCCGCAGCAACCGUUAAGUCAUAUGCAGAGGGAUUUGCGUUUGGUGCUCAACAUGGCUGAGAAUUUGGAUCAGUCGAUGCCGGUGACGAGCAUCACAAACGAGGUGUUCAAGCAUACAAAACGCUUGGGGUACAGCGAGCACGAUUCGAGUGCUGUAUUCGGUAACUUCUAUGCAGAUCUAAGACCAAACUUCAAGCCCGUCAAGAUAUUGGUGAACGUGUCGACGGAUCGCUUGUCGCGUUCGGAAACGCCGUCGCCAUGCUUGAGGCGGACACGCUGGGCCAGCGCUUAGGAUGAGAGAGAGAUGUGAGUGAAUAAGUGAGAGAGGAGAGAGGAGGAAGAGUAUGUGAAGAGAGCAGAGAAAACUUGAAGAGAGAGCUCGAUUGAUGAGUAUUGACGAGCAGAGAGGGGCGCAUAUAAAAUACAAUAUUUAUAUAUAUAUAUAUAUAUUUAUUUAUAUAUAGAGCCAGUGUUGAUUGAGAAGAAAGAAGUGUGAAAAAAGCGGACCGCUUUCAUUACUCCUUCUGACGCCAAGCCAGUACUAGCCGCCCCCCCUCCCCCCACCUUCCCGGCCCCCUCGAAGAGUUCAGUUCAUUUGCAAGAAGAGAGCAUGUCGUAAAUAAAACUGUAAUAUUAUUAAAAUCAAAUGGAACAAAAAGAACGACUACUUUUCUCAUUCGAGAUGAUGUUAUUGUGUGUAAAUGUUGCUUCCCAAAUAUAAGUGUAUCAAAUAUAUACAUACUACAUACAUUCAUGCACAUGUAUUUAACGACGAGAGCAUGCGAAUAAAUUGUACAAAAAAAAAAGCAAAUUAUAAAUAUACACAUUGUGAAACAAUUGCAACAUUUGACAAACUUUUCAUUUCGAGGAGAGCAAUUUGCUUGCUAAGUACGCGACUCUUGCUGGCUGCGCCUUCGAUUUGAUUUUUAAUAAAAUAAUUCGUAUAUUAUUAUACAGUUAGUUUACUUAAAUCGCACAUAAAAUCUAGUACGCAUACUGCCCUAUGCAAGAACUGCAAUACCAACCACCAUUUAGUAGUUUUCAUUGUUCGACAUCAUUGAAACAAACAAACAAACAACAAGACACACAACUGAAACCGAGAUAAGAAAUUUACAGAAAAUAAAUAUAAAAAAACACACAAAAAAAAAUUAGUGUAAACUUUUAGAGCCAAGAGAGUUUCGAGGGAUCUAUAUUAAUAAUAAUAAGAAUAAAUAUA